rnacentral:lncRNA from 1 species
GGUAAAUGUAAGGAAAUCAAUUGUCCUAUGGGUGAUUUUCUUUUGGUGGGUCCUUAUACAAGAAAGCAGUUUAAAACUGAAAGAGGCCACAGGCAUAGUUAUCACGAGCACUGGUUCUUGGAUAAUGGAGAUAAAGCUAACCACUUAAGUGAACUACAAGCAGUUUUGUAAUUGUUGGGGUCCAGGAGUCACCUCACAAACCAUUCAAACACCCACCUCAGACAGGGAUGGCUUAUUUAGCAUACACCACAGGUCUAACCAAUCAGGGCCACAAUUCAGGCUCAGAAGCUGAACCAUGACAUUGAGUUAAGAUCCUACAGGGUUUUCAAGCAUAAAGUCCACAAACAUCUGUGCCAAGUUAUUUCACCAAUCAGGAUUUAGAGAUAGGGGAUUUUCUUACAAACAUGUCUUUGUUGUACACUUAUCCUGUUCUCAUUGGUUGGGGUAUUCAGUUGUGGCAGGGGACUUUAACAUGCAUGCCUUAACUUGUCUACCAGGACGUCAGUUACCCAUAUACAUGCCUCUUUCUGCCAAGUAGGAUGACAGUUCUCUCUCUCUCUUUUUUUUUUCUUGUUUUUUUUUCUUUUACCUUUCUCAAACCCUUGUGUUGAGGGCAGGAUGACAAUUCUCGGUGAGGUCUUGGGAACUUAAAACUUUACCUGACCCUACACAAAAUGAAAGUCUUAUUCCAAAUAGCUUCUUAUAUUGGUGUCUCUCUUAUGUUGGGGUCCAUCCCAUAGGCAGCUUAUAAAACCAAAUAGCAUAAAAGCUUAUAUUACAGGUGCAGGAAGUGCUGCUGGGUAGUUGGUUCGGGGCUAAGCUUAUUGUGGGUCACUAUACAAAACAAUUCUACUGACUUCUAUCAUGAUUUUUUUUUUUUUUACAAAGGCACAGAACAUAACAAUAUGCAACCAGUUUGGGCAUGAGAAAGUUUCCUAGUAACAGCAUAUGAGAAAGUCUCUUUAUAACAUUAGUAACGGCAUAAAAUGGUGGGCUACCCAGGUGACAAGUACCUAGGCCUUAACAUUCCAUCUAGGCCUUAAUAUUUUAUCUAGACCUUAACAGUAAUCCGGCAGGUAUCUAGACCUUAACAGUAAGUUAAACAUGCUAAGAAUGAUCACUGUGCAGCCGCAAGUAUCCAGCUGAGCAGAAGCCCAUCUCUCCCUGGUUUCCUCCUGACUGAAGUUCUCCUGUGGUUGUAGCAGUUGAUUCUGAUUUUUAACACAAAAUUGGUGAAUAGCUCUGUAAUGUAUGGGCUCCUAUGCUAACAUAAAGAACUUCAGGAAAUAAGCCCAGGGCCAGAAUGAUGCAAUGAUAGAAAUUUUGUUAGUACUUUUCCAAAGAGAGAUGUUACUAAAUUCAGCAAAGCCAUUAUACCUUUUUCGUACGGAAUGUAUUGUAUUAAAUAAACUCCAUAAAGUAGGAUGUGGAGC